UUCAAUUGUAUUCACUAAGAACUUGAUCGAUUGGUUUUACUUCGUCUUUAUGUUCUCUGGAAAACGUUUUGGUAGUGAUCGUAAUAAGCACAAGUUUCAGCCAAAACGUUUUGCCUCAACACAAUCAGUCUCCGAUUUCCCUCCUCUCUUACUAGCCGCUGAUGCCGCCUUUCAGAUCUCCAAUAACCCUAAAACCACCACCAAAAAACAUAAACAUAAGCCGCUUCAAAAACCAGGCCAUACUGCGUUAAGACUGAUUUCCCUACAAUGUUCCAUCUCUUCUCUCCUCAUACAUCUCCACCAACCGCUUUGACUAUGUCCUUUCUCCACUGAUGGCCCUUCGUAUAGGCCGAUCUUAGUGGAAAGAAACGGACACUCAGGUUCUACCAGUCUCUGACUCUGAAUUACUCUUACAGGUUGUUUUGAGUUUCUUGCUUUUUGUUAAUUUUUUUUCAAGAUUAGUCUUUUAUGUACAAGAGAAUCUUCAAUUAAGCUCUAACUUUCUAUUCCUUCUUUCUUUCUUUAGUUUUGUUUAAUGUGAUUCUACUAUGAAGUUAUUGAGGGCUCCGCUGGUUAACUCUGAUGGUGAUUCAAAGGAUGCUUUCCCAAAUAAUCUGGUUUAUGUGCUUAACGGCUGCGUUUUCUGUUUUGCCGUAGGUGUUCUCCAUGUGAUGUUGAAGCGUGGGUUUGCUUUCAGUGUCUACAAUAUGAACAUCCUCUUGGAGGGUUUAUGCAAGAAUCUGGAAUACGGCAAAACCGUUACUUUGCUUCGUGAGUGCCUUUUACGAGAUAAGUGAGUCAUAUUCUGCUCGACUCUUUGGCUGACUUCACUUGCUUGCCUGUUUCUAAGUAUGUUGUGUAGCCAGGGGAUAUCAUGCCUCCUCACUGUUACUAUGGAAUGCAAGCUGAAGCUAAACGUAGAAAUAGAGGCCCCGACACUUGAGUCUGAAGCUCAAGAAUACAGAAUAAAGCCUGCUUACUUUGUUUCUCAUAAUCUCCUUCACCAGCUUGAAUAGGGGAACACCAAACCCAUUUCAACAUCGCAGGUAUUAAGAAAAGUUCUGCAAACUUGGUAUCAGAAGCUGCAAAGGGUCGUCUGCUCAAGAGAUUAAAAAUUUCCUUAAGAGAUUUGAAGUUGGAUCUGGUCCUCUGCUUAGGUGUUCCAACAAUGGAUUCAAUACAAUAGAGCACAUUGGUAGACUUCUACUCUUCAGUGAUCUCUUAAGUUUUCAGAGGUUCAAAGAGUUCUAUGCUUCAACCACUAUCUCCACUGAGGAUGAACCUUACAAAGGUCUUAGUAAUCUGUUAGCCCCUACAGGAGACUUAUUUUCUUACUUGGAUGAUCUGGCAAAUUCAUUGGAUAUUCAGGCUUACAUAAGAGAGUGUGUUUGGACAGCCGGAAAUUGAUUUCCCAUCCCAACAGUGUGUUUGGACAGCCGGAAAUUGAUUUCCCAUCCCAACACCGUCUAGCUAGCUAGCAUCAAUAGCGUAUGACACCGUUAGAUUGCCACUAAAAGCAAAUCCACAAAAAAAUGAUUCAUCUCCUUACCACUUCGGUUUUCUCCUUGUGAAAUUAAUAGAAUUUUCUCAUAUGUAUUCACCCUCUUAAUGUUUUGUGGUUUUUUGGAAUGUUUGUGUUUAAGUAAAAAUAAGAAUUUCGUUUCAGCAAUUCAAA